rnacentral:rRNA from 1 species
AGCGAACGCUAGCGGCAGGCCUAACACAUGCAAGUCGAACGAACUCUUCGGAGUUAGUGGCGGACGGGUGAGUAACACGUGGGAACGUGCCUUUAGGUUCGGAAUAACUCAGGGAAGCUUGUGCUAAUACCGAAUGUGCCCUUCGGGGGAAAGAUUUAUCGCCUUUAAAGCGGCCCGCGUCUGAUUAGCUAGUUGGUGAGGUAACGGCUCACCAAGGCGACGAUCAGUAGCUGGUCUGAGAGGAUGGCCAGCCACACUGGGACUGAGACACGGCCCAGACUCCUACGGGAGGCAGCAGUGGGGAAUCUUGCGCAAUGGGCGAAAGCCUGACGCAGCCAUGCCGCGUGAAUGAUGAAGGUCUUAGGAUUGUAAAAUUCUUUCACCGGGGACGAUAAUGACGGUACCCGGAGAAGAAGCCCCGGCUAACUUCGUGCCAGCCGCCGCGGUAA